ensembl:lncRNA
UCUGGCCUCAACCUUCCCUUAUCAGAACUAGAUAAAUCAAACCAACAAAAUAAAUAAGAAAGAAGUAAAGGAAGCAAAUGAAAAAUUUAAUAGAUAUCUGGAGAAAAUUGAAUAGGUAUAAAAAGGAAUAUAUUUUCUUUUUAGCAGCACAUGGUACAUAUACAAACACUGGCCAUGGACUAAGGCAUAAAAACUUCCCAGCCAAAGUAAAAAAAACCAGAAGUAAUGAAUGCGACUUUCUUAGACCAUAAUGCCAUUUUAAAAUAUACAAUCAAUAAGGAUUCGUGAAAAGGCGAAAUGAAUCCUGCCUUAAACACUUACCAGCUUUGUGUCACUGGACCAGUUUGCCUCAGUUUCCUCAUCUGUCAAACGGGAGGGUGAGAUUUAGUGGCCUCCAAGGUCUUUUCCAAUUCUGAACCUAUCUAGAGAUCUUUAAGCUGUACAAAGCACCUUACAUCCUUAAACAGAACCACCUGUGAGGUGUGGACGAGGAUUGUCCCAAUUUUACACCUGAAAAAACGAAGACGGAAAAGUUCAGAGACUCGCUGUCUUGUGGCAACUGAGGAAGAAUUUGAAUCCUCCAUCCAGAUUCCAGGAGAGCAGCUGCUUCUGGGAGAUGAGAGGCAUCUUUGAACGCCAAGGCCCGCCACGGCAACAAAGGUGCCAGAGAGGAAACCAAUCUGAGCAACGGCCAGAGUGCUCGGCGGGAAGCUGGGCCGGGUCCACAGCACAGCACACAGAUGUGUCUGGGGGAACCUCAGAAACGGGGGUGUUGGGUCUGGCCCAGAGGGGGAGCCCAGCCAUGAAGGCUCUCAUUCCUGUGGCCAAAGCACUCCCUACCUCUACAGUCUUGGCUGUGGCCAAAGGAACCAUCGCCUGCGAGAGGGGACAAAGACAAGAGUCCUGGCUCACGCCAUGGGGCUCUCCUCUGUAGAGUGUGCUUUUAAUAGUCCAUGUGUGAGUCUACUUGGUAGUCUCUGAUUGGGAAGAACUUCUGGGAUCAUCGCAUCCCAUCCCCAGAGUCUGAGGAUGAGGCCCAGGGAGGGAGAGCAAGGAGUCGAGGUGGGAUAAGAAGGCACCUUGUCCUACCAUCUUUCCACAUCCAAGACCUUCCCCGAAGCACUAAGGGGCCCCCGGGGACAUCGAUCGAUUUCUGCCUCUUUUCAGAUGUAUCUGGCAAACACAUGUGGUCUCCCUCUUUCUCACUGCCUCUCCGAUCCCUUCUUCUAUUAUCUCACAGACUCUCCAAAUGGAAGGUGGCAUGGACCAGUCCAAUCCUUGACCAACGUAUAAAAUGCCUUUUCCAGUGUUCCUGGUGAGGCCAUGAUUUUUCUCUUGGUGACUCGGUUUCCUUCCCUGGGAAGCAUGUUGUGGGUGCAGUGCUAGACUAGGAGUUAGGAAGGUCUUAGUUAAAAUCCCACCUCAGAUUCUUUAUUAGCCCUGCAACUCUGGGCCAGUCAUUUAAACUCUGUGCCACUAUUCACUGGAUUCAAUGAUCUUUAAGGCCCUUCCAGCUCUAAAUAAUCUUAAAAGUUUACCUGUGGGGCAGAGAUGAGUGGAGGACCACUUACUCUGAAAUCUAUU